UACUUCAACUCCAAAGAAACAAGAGAUUAACAGUUCUAAAGGAGGAGGGCGAGUUUAAUGACAAAGAAAUAUCCUUUCGUUCCUUCCAGACUCUGAAUUCCACAAUGCAAGAAAGCCACGUGAAGAAGGAAACCAUUAGUUCAAAUCAUGUUAGAAGAAUUGUUCUAAGGAAGAACAUGUCAUUCUGGGAGCUUACCAGCAACAUGCCUCCCGGUUUGAUUGGUGAUUCAACUACGACCCGAGCUUUCCUGCAGCAAAGUAUCAAUUAGUGAGAAGCUGAUGUUUCCUAGUGGACUUACUAGGUUGAGCAUUCAAUUAAUUUGAAAGGUACUUUAUUACUAGUCGGUCCCCGAUCUGUGAGCACUCAUAAAAGCUGCAGCCCCUUGUGAAAGGUAGUGGUCUUUUUUUCCAUUCUACCACAGUACAAAGAUUCAUCAUUUCCUUAAGGUCCUUAUGGAUCUUAGAUUUGUUAGUAAAAAUAAAUGGAAAUUAGAGCAAAGUAAUGUUAGAUCAUCAUACCCAUGUGCCAAUUUACUCCUGCUGUGAAUUCAUUAUCUUCACAAACAUGUUCAACGAUGAACUUCACAUUCUGGCCCAUGCCUGUGGUGAGCUGUUGAUAGAAACGCAUAACUUCCUGCAGCAAUUCGAUUGAGAAAAAUCAAAAGUUAAUGUUAUAUCAAGUACAGAAGAAGUUUAUAGAAGUAUGAAGAGGAGACCUUUUUGCCUUGAAUUGGGGAUAUAAAUGUGCAAUCCUCAAAGCAGCAAUCAUCUGAAAUGUACUCAUUUAGUUCUUUUAACUUUUUCUCAUUGAUGCAGGCAUAGAAAUUCCUGAUUGUAUCUGCUGCAGAAAUCUGAUCCAAUGUAAUAUCAUCACUUUCAGCUGCUGAUGGCACGAUCAAGUCGAGCCUCCGAUUGUGGAAAGGCGUUGCUGCGGCGACCAUGGGUUUGAAGGAGAGGGUCUGCUGUGGGAUUUGGCAUGAGAACAUGAUAGCAGAAGCCAUUUCCUUCUCCCAGAGUAAGAUUGGGAAGAUGAGACAGAAGUUUAAGACGACAUACUAGUAGAAAGCAUUAUAAGAUUAAAGAAAAAUAUGAAAGAAUUGAGCAAAGAAUAAAGUGAUCCUUUGGGCCUUGGAGUGAAAUAAAAGUAUAACUGCAUCAUGUAAUAAACUUGCAAUGGCGUUUUGAAAUGACAAGGAACGCCUUCGCCUGUAAAGUUUCCAAGGAAUCUCAUUUUAGGACUAGGCGACGCUUUCUUUUUUUAUUAAAAAAAAAAUACUAAAGCUAUUAAGGUAAGAUUUGUUUAUAUUUCUA